rnacentral:rRNA from 1 species
AUUAAAAACCAAUGCCCUUCGGGGCUCUCUGGUGAUUCAUAAUAACUUCUCGAAUCGCACGGCCUUGCGCCGGCGAUGGUUCAUUCAAAUUUCUGCCCUAUCAACUUUCGACGGCUGGGUCUUGGCCAGCCGUGGUGACAACGGGUAACGGAGGGUUAGGGCUCGACCCCGGAGAAGGAGCCUGAGAAACGGCUACUACAUCCAAGGAAGGCAGCAGGCGCGCAAAUUACCCAAUCCCGACACGGGGAGGUAGUGACAAUAAAUACUGAUACAGGGCUCUUUCGGGUCUUGUAAUUGGAAUGAGUACAAUUUAAAUCCCUUAACGAGGAACAAUUGGAGGGCAAGUCUGGUGCCAGCAGCCGCGGUAAUUCCAGCUCCAAUAGCGUAUAUUAAAGUUGUUGAGGUAAAAAAGCUCGUAGUUGAACCUUGGGCCUAGCCGGCCGGUCCGCCUCACCGCGUGCACUGGCUCGGCUGGGUCUUUCCUUCUGGAGAACCGCAUGCCCUUCACUGGGUGUGCC